rnacentral:rRNA from 1 species
AUGCCACAAUUCAGUUUUCCGAUCAACAAUUUAAAACCACACAAGCUUGAGUCUGAAACUAAACAUAUCAUAGCACUAGACAAAUCUGAAUAUUACAUUCGAUCUCAAAUCUACAGAAAUUUAGAGAGAGGGAGAUGGCAGCAGCAAGAGGUUGAGGGAGAAGAAGUAGCAGCGGGUUGGUGGGUGAGGAGCAGCAAAGGCGUGGGGAAAGAGCAACAGCAGCAAGGUUUGGGAAGAAGAAGGAGCAGCAGCAGGUUGGCGAUGGGAGAGGGAGCAGCAUCAGUUUUAAGAGGAAGAGCAGCAGAGGCGUGGGGAAAGAAGAGCAGCAGCAGGUUGAAGAUAAAGGAGCAGCAGACAACAGAGUUUGGGUUCAGAGAAGAAGAAGUGGCAGCAGUUUUGAGGUUCAGAGAAGGGGCGCAGCAGAGAGGUUCAAAGAAGCAGCUAGCUGGGCAUCAGGGGCGUUGGAGAGAAGGUGCAGCAGCAGUUUUGGGGAGAAGAAAGUAG